CAGUAGCCGCGGUAAUACGUAGGGUGCAAGCGUUAAUCGGAAUUACUGGGCGUAAAGCGUGCGCAGGCGGUUAUAUAAGACAGAUGUGAAAUCCCCGGGCUCAACCUGGGAACUGCAUUUGUGACUGUAUAGCUAGAGUACGGCAGAGGGGGAUGGAAUUCCGCGUGUAGCAGUGAAACGCGUAGAUAUGCGGAGGAACACCGAUGGCGAAGGCAAUCCCCUGGGCCUGUACUGACGCUCAUUCACGAAAGCGUGGGGAGCAAACAGGAUUAGAGACCCCAGUAGUCCCUGUCUCUUAUAC
rnacentral:rRNA from 1 species